rnacentral:rRNA from 1 species
CCUACGGGUGGCAGCAGUGAGGAAUAUUGGUCAAUGGACGAGAGUCUGAACCAGCCAAGUAGCGUGAAGGAUGACUGCCCUAUGGGUUGUAAACUUCUUUUAUAAAGGAAUAAAACGAGGCACGUGUGCCUUUUUGCAUGUACUUUAUGCAUAAGGAUCGGCUAACUCCGUGCCAGCAGCCGCGGUAAUACGGAGGAUCCGAGCGUUAUCCGUAUUUAUUGGGUUUAAAGGGAGCGUAGAUGGGUUGUUAAGUCAGUUGUGAAAUUUUGCGGCUUAACCGUAAAAUUGCAAUUGAUACUGGCAGUCUUGAGUUCAGUUGAGGUAGGCGGAAUUCGUGGUGUAGCGGUGAAAUGCUUAGAUAUCACGAAGAACCCCGAUUGCGAAGGCAGCUUACUAAACUGUGACUGACAUUGAUGCUCGAAAGUGUGGGUAUCAAACAGGAUUAGAUACCCUUGUAGUC